UAGCCUGUCUCCAAGCUCAGAGCUCAGAGUUCUGCUUGCGUUUCCAUGCCUGAGCUCUGGCCUGGAAUCUGCUUCACGGAAGAAAUCCGGGACCAUCGGCAGAAAGUUAUUUGAAGAGUUUCCUUGUUUGUCAAGCAAAUAGAUGACUACAGCCUAAGAAAACUCAGCUUUCUCAGAAAAAUUUCCAGACAUUUCUGAUUACAGCCAACUCUCCCAGAGAA
rnacentral:lncRNA from 1 species